UACGAAGGGGGCUAGCGUUGUUCGGAAUCACUGGGCGUAAAGCGCGCGUAGGCGGAUUGAUAAGUUAGGGGUGAAAUCCCGAGGCUCAACCUCGGAACUGCCUUUGAUACUGUCAGUCUUGAGUUCGAGAGAGGUGAGUGGAACUCCGAGUGUAGAGGUGAAAUUCGUAGAUAUUCGGAAGAACACCAGUGGCGAAGGCGGCUCACUGGCUCGAUACUGACGCUGAGGUGCGAAAGCGUGGGGAGCAAACAGG
rnacentral:rRNA from 1 species